AUGGUGCGAAGCAUCACAUGCUACCGAGUCCAGUUCCAACAAGCUACAAACAAAGCAGAAUUACAAGCAAACAAAGGGCGUGUCCGUGAUCUAGAAUGGAAGUCCUAUGGGGGGAUGAGGGUUCUACUGCUUCCUUCCCUCGACCGCGCCUGUGUCGUCGUCGACCUCCGCCGGUCGCCGGUUUUAUUCACAGGCCAGCUUCGUGUCGAAGCUGCUCAGGCACAUUGCGAAGGCCUGGAACGCCGAGAGCGGAUAGCGGUAGUCCAUGGUGAACAUGUCCUUGGACACCUUGCCGAACUGCAGGAUGAUCUUGUCCUGCUCCGGCGCCGGGGCGGGCUGCGACGGGGCCGGGGUCGGGGUCGGCGCCCCUGCGGGGGGCGGCGCGGGCUGGCUCGGCGCCGCGAUCAGCUGGAAGUUCUUCACCGAGGCGAUGGUCACGCGGCCACGGAAGUUGAGGCACCAGCACUGCAGCUGCUCGUGCCACCUCGGGACCUUGUUGCGGAGCACCAGCGGCCUCUCCUUGUUCUCUCCGUCUUCGUCGCGGCUUAUCGCACCUCCGGCGAUGUCGGACAAAAACCGGGAGCUGCUGAAAUAACGGGAGCUGCUGAAAUCCGUGGACCGGUCCAUGAUGGAUGA
rnacentral:rRNA from 1 species